GUCGUGCUGCAAAACGUCAAUUGCAAAUCCUCCCCAAAUUGUAUUUUUCCAUCGUUAAUCUCUCGAAAAACAAAAUUUCUCCCUGCCCCCUUUUCUUCAAUGCAAUCUCUGUAACCCUAUCGUUGUUCUCGAGAACGAUGGAAUCUCUAUAACUUCUGCAAAUCGCCAACAAAAAAAACACAUCCUAGAGGAUAGUGCAAAAUCGAAACGUACAGGUAAUUUGAUUUGUGAUUUUGUAAAUGUCUUUAAUGGCGAUUCAUUGACGGAAUGCAAUGGGUUAUUUUUAUAACAUAAGUGAAAGAUGCAAAUUAGAGGUUUUAAC
rnacentral:lncRNA from 1 species